AUACUUUCGAGGUGAUCUGCUAAUGGUUGCAGAGGAAUCUGUAGUUGAUCCUGCAAUGGCAAAGUGCUACAUAUAAAAUCGACGCUCCGCAAAGGCGGUCGGUGGCCAGCAGUUAGUCACGGUUACGAUUGGAUGAAGACCUAACAGCCUGCGAACAACAGCUUGGUGUGCUUUCGCUAGUACAGGAAAAUUAUUUGCAUUUAAAAGGAAUAACGUAGUUGAAAUCGUCAGGGAUGCCACCUACAAGCCAGCAACAGAAAGUUAAAUCUAACAAUCAUGGAAAUUAAUUCGCUAAAAAAAGACCAGAUAUAUUGGCUUCUGGUAAAUCUUCCGGAAUAACUAGCGAAACCCAGAUACGAGCGGGCUCUGAACACGAUUGGCGAAAGGCUUCCCAACGACGGAACGGCUCGAAUUCGUCUUCUGGCGGACCACUCUGAAAAAAAGAAAACAAUUUUGAAAGAAAACAGAACGAUUUUGAAAGUACUUGAAAAGUUCUUAUGUAUGAUGCAGUUUAGCUGCUUGCCAUUUAGAAUCAAAAAACACAAAUGGAUAUGGUUAAUACUGCCUUAGAGUAAUCUAUAACAACAUACAAACUCAAACAGUAGGUACUUACUAGUGGG